rnacentral:lncRNA from 10 species
UUUUAUUUUGGGACCGGACACACUAUUAUAUAAAGAGGAUCUGUGAGUGUUACUUGGUCUUGUAAGCUAUUUUUCUUUUUUUCAGCAAAAUGUUGUGAGCACCUACCAUAUGCCAGGCACUGUUCAGUGAACUGGUUGUACAGGAGUGAAUGAGAUCAUCUUGAUUUUGAGAAGUUUAUAAUCUACUCAAGGGAAACACGUGUAAUCAACUAUGUUUCAGACAUAACCCCUCAAAACCAAAGCAGAACCUCUUCAAGGAGCUGAGAGAUGCAAGCCUGGAGGAGAAAAGCGGGGCAGCAUCAAACCCCUCCCACUGGGGCAACCUGCUGAGCAUCUCCCUGGCCUUGGCCCCUGGCCAUACCACACAAGUGUCCAAUGAGUCACUGAUCCUGAAGAACAAGAGAAGACUGACCACAGACCCCAAAAGGAAGCAGGAGUACAACCUUCGAAGUUGGUGGGCAACAAGAGGUCAGAGGUUGACAAGCAUCCACACAGCUCUAAGACUAGCAUCAUGUGGCUACCCAGGACCUGGGAGAGUGCUGCAGAGCAGGAGCAGGAAAGGGACCGGCUGUUCCCAUAGAACUUCAUGUCACAGGUCUGGGAGCCAGGGGGCCUUGGUUCUAGUCCCAACUCUCCCUCUAAGUUGUCUUAUGGCCACAGGUGAGUGAAAUAGCUUCUCUGGCCUCAGCUUCCUCACGAUUAAAAUGACACAGUUGUGCAAAA